rnacentral:rRNA from 1 species
AUUGAACGCUGGCGGCAUGCUUUACACAUGCAAGUCGAACGGCAGCACGGGGGCAACCCUGGUGGCGAGUGGCGAACGGGUGAGUAAUAUAUCGGAACAUGUCCGGAAGUGGGGGAUAACGUAGCGAAAGUUACGCUAAUACCGCAUAUGCCCUGAGGGGGAAAGGAGGGGAUCGCAAGACCUUUCGCUUUCGGAGUGGCCGAUAUCAGAUUAGCUAGUUGGUGGGGUAAAGGCCUACCAAGGCGACGAUCUGUAGCUGGUCUGAGAGGACGACCAGCCGCACUGGGGCUGAGACACGGCACAGACUCCUACGGGAGGAAGCAGUGGGGAAUUUUGGACAAUGGGCGCAAGCCUGAGCCAGCCAUGCCGCGUGAGUGAAGAAGGCCUUCGGGUUGUAAAGCUCUUUCGGACAGAAAGAAAUCGCCAUUCCUAAUACGAGUGGUGGAUGACGGUACUGUAAGAAGAAGCACCGGCUAACUACGUGCCAGCCGCCGCGGUAACAC